AUUCAGCCAACGAGUCCCAAAUAGGACGAAACGCGCAUCAAACUGAAC
rfam:Schistosoma mansoni strain Puerto Rico chromosome 1, complete genome